GUGUCAGCAGCCGCGGUAAAACGUAGGAGGCGAGCGUUAUCCGGAUUUAUUGGGCGUAAAGGGCAAGUAGGCGGUAAGCAAAGUUGGUUGUGACAUAUCCCGGCUCAACUGGGAGGGUGCGGCCAAAACUAGCUUACUAGAGGGCAGGAGAGGGAAGCGGAAUUCCUAGUGUAGCGGUGGAAUGCUCAGAUACUAGGAGGAACACCGGUGGCGAAGGCGGCUUCCUGGUCUGCACCUGACGCUGAGAGGCGAAAGCUAGGGGAGCGAACGGGCUUAGAUACCCCGGUAGUCCUAGCCGUAAACGUUGGAUACUGGGUAAUUGGGGGGAUAAACCCCUGAGUGCCGAAGCAAACGCGUUAAGUAUCCCGCCUGGGGACUACGGCCGCAAGGUUAAAACUUAAAGGAAUUGACGGGG
rnacentral:rRNA from 1 species